AUGGGAAGGUCCACACUUUUGGAAUCAUUCCAAUUCAGAAAUUCUUCCAUUCCUUUACAACUUUAUUCUAAGAAUGCAGACCAUCCUGAGAAUACUACCAGUGCAGAAUGCAGACCUUCCUCAGAAUACUAUCAGUGCAGAAUGCAGACCAUCCCAAGAAUACUACCAGUGCAGAAUGCAGACCUUCCUCAGAAUACUAUCAGUGCAGAAUGCAGACCUUCCUCAGAAUACUAUCAGUGCAGAAUGCAGACCUUCCCAAAAAUACUACCAGUGCAGAACACAUACCUUCUUCAGAAUACUAUCAGUGCAGAAUGCAUACCUUCCUCAGAAUACUACCAGUGCAGAACACAGGCCUUCCUCAGAAUACUACCAGUGCAGAAUGCAGACCUUCCUCAGAAUACUUCCAGUGCAGAAUGCAGACCUUCCUCAGAAUACUACCAGUGCAGAAUGCAGACCUUCCCAAGAAUACUACCAGUGCAGAACACAGGCCUUCCUCAGAAUACUUCCAGUGCAGAAUGCAGACCUUCCUCAGAAUACUAUCAGUGCAGAACACAGGCUUUCCUCAGAAUACUAUCAGUGCAGAAUGCAGACCUUCCUCAGAAUACUACCAGUGCAGAAUGCAGACCUUCCUCAGAAUACUACCAGUGCAGAAUGCAGACCUUCCUCAGAAUACUACCAGUGCAGAACACAGGCCUUCCUCAGAAUACUACCAGUGCAGAAUGCAGACCUUCCCAAAAAUACUACCAGUGCAGAACACAGGCCUUCCUCAGAAUACUACCAGUGCAGAAUGCAGACCUUCCUCAGAAUACUACCAGUGCAGAAUGCAGACCUUCCUCAGAAUACUACCAGUGCAGAAUGCAGACCUUCCUCAGAAUACUACCAGUGCAGAAUGCAGACCUUCCCAAAAAUACUACCAGUGCAGAACACAGGCCUUCCUCAGAAUACUACCAGUGCAGAAUGCAGACCUUCCUCAGAAUACUACCAGUGCAGAAUGCAGACCUUCCUCAGAAUACUACCAGUGCAGAAUGCAGACCUUCCUCAGAAUACUACCAGUGCAGAAUGCAGACCUUCCUCAGAAUACUACCAGUGCAGAAUGCAUACCUUCCUCAGAAUACUUCCAGUGUGCAGUUCUUUUUCUUGCCUUCUUAUUUCACUAUUCUAUCUAUUUAUAUCUCAUUUCUGUGUAUCAGGAUUGGGAACAUCUAA
rnacentral:lncRNA from 1 species